rnacentral:rRNA from 1 species
CUACGGGAGGCACCAGUGAGGAAUUUUGCGCAAUGGGGGAAACCCUGACGCAGCAACGCCGCGUGAGCGAAGAAGGCCCUCGGGUCGUAAAGCUCUGUCAAGUGGGAAAAAAAUCUUUUGAUGAAUAGACAAGAGACUUGAUGGUACCACUGGAGGAAGCACCGGCUAACUCCGUGCCAGCAGCCGCGGUAAUACGGAGGGUGCAAGCGUUGUUCGGAAUUACUGGGCGUAAAGAGCGUGUAGGCGGUUUGACAAGUCAGAUGUGAAAGCCCUGGGCUCAACCUGGGAAGGGCAUUUGAAACUGUUUGACUAGAGUAUGGGAGAGGAGAUUGGAAUUCCUGGUGUAGAGGUGAAAUUCGUAGAUAUCAGGAGGAACACCCGUGGCGAAGGCGAUUCUCUGGACCAAUACUGACGCUGAGACGCGAAAGCGUGGGGAGCAAACAGGAUUAGAUACCCGGGUAGUC